GUUAACAUCGACCAGUGCUUUAAAACUUAUAGUAAAGUGUGGCUAAAGAAAAAAUUUAACCUAAGUUUAAAUUAAAAGUGUUUUUCUUCUUUUCCACCAAUUAAAUGUUCCUGCUUCUUUUCUUUAUUACCCAUCUUAAUUGUUUUCUUUUUGCCCUUUAGUAAAACGGUCGAUUUGCCUGCAAGAAACCUCGCUCCAUUUUAAUUGGGUAUUUCCAAUUAAUUCCUCGGCAUUUUAUUUGGUCACUAGGCUGAAUUGCUAUCGAUCUCUUCGAAGCUCCACACACCAGACGAGACAGAAAAAUUGAGAGAUUUCUGGGUUUCAAUCCGCAAAUUGCUUAGACUGUGGUGAUCCAGCACACGAAUUAAGUUCUCAUCGAUCCCCGUGCUAAUCGCGUCGUUGUUUUUUUGCUCUGAGUCGUUGGUAGUUUAGCCGCCGCAACCCGAAAAGAAAAAAAGAAAGUCUAAAACAAUGGUGAAGUGCUAAAACCAAGUCCUACAGGACUUUUUGUGGGUAAAUCUAAAUAUAUACGGCCCAGGUGUUCAAAUGUGUCAUAUAAUCGCCGUGAAAUUUUCUGUAUUAAUUUGCAUUCAAAGCAUUUAAAACAAAAAAGGAGGAAAACAAAAAAACCCCUUAUGCCCAAUGAUACAAAUAUAGAAAAAUUGCUAAAAAUGUGUAAGAGAGAGUGAUCUAAAUUAGCCAGCCAGCCAUAACCAGGAAUGUAUUUAAGUCAGACUGUGUAAAAGUCAAAAACUAGUUUUGUUCUACAACUCGAAAUUUAAAAAUUAAAAAAAAUCCUAGCUGCAAUGGUAAAUGGGCUUAAUUUUGUUUCUCCCAAUUACAAAAUAGUCUAACACAUUUUAUAUACAUUUCUUUUUUUUUCGAGUGUUAUUGCUUUUGUUUCUAAAGUUUUGUUAGCUUUUGAAUUCGUUUUCUUUUUUUUAUUAUUUCUAUUGUCUGUAUGUAUCAUACAGAGUGAAACAAAUUUAUUUUUUUUUGACUCCCGUUUCAGUUGGGAAUC